rnacentral:rRNA from 1 species
ACGGCUCAGUAACACGUGGGUAACAUGCUUUACACAGGGGGAUAGCCUUCCGAAAGGAAGAUUAAUACCGCAUAAGAAGUAAUUACCGCAUGGUAGGAGCUUUAAAGGAGCAAUCCGGUGUAAGAUGGACCCGCGGCGCAUUAGCUAGUUGGUGAGGUAACGGCUCACCAAGGCAACGAUGCGUAGCCGACCUGAGAGGGUGAUCGGCCACAUUGGAACUGAGAGACGGUCCAGACUCCUACGGGAGGCAGCAGUGGGGAAUAUUGCACAAUGGAGGAAACUCUGAUGCAGCAACGCCGCGUGAGUGACGAAGGCCUUCGGGUUGUAAAGCUCUGUCAUCUGGGACGAUAAUGACGGUACCAGAGGAGGAAGCCACGGCUAACUACGUGCCAGCAGCCGCGGUAAUACGUAGGUGGCGAGCGUUGUCCGGAAUUACUGGGCGUAAAGGAUGCGUAGGUGGAAAUUUAAGUCAGAUGUGAAAUACCCGAGCUUAACUUGGGCACUGCAUUUGAAACUGAAUUUCUUGAGUGCAGGAGAGGAAAGCGGAAUUCCUAGUGUAGCGGUGAAAUGCGUAGAGAUUAGGAAGAACACCAGUGGCGAAGGCGGCUUUCUGGACUGUAACUGACACUGAGGCAUGAAAGCGUGGGGAGCAAACAGGAUUAGAUACCCUGGUAGUCCACGCUGUAAACGAUGGGUACUAGGUGUGGGAGGUAUCGACUCCUUCCGUGCCGCAGUUAACACAAUAAGUACCCCGCCUGGGGAGUACGAUCGCAAGAUUAAAACUCAAAGGAAUUGGCGGGGGAGCAC